UACGUAGGGUGCAAGCGUUGUCCGGAAUUAUUGGGCGUAAAGAGCUCGUAGGCGGUCUGUCGCGUCGGCUGUGAAAACUCGGGGCUCAACUCCGAGCUUGCAGUCGAUACGGGCAGGCUAGAGUUCGGCAGGGGAGACUGGAAUUCCUGGUGUAGCGGUGAAAUGCGCAGAUAUCAGGAGGAACACCGGUGGCGAAGGCGGUUCUCUGGGCCUGUACUGACGCUGAGGAGCGAAAGCCAGGGGAGCAAACGGG
rnacentral:rRNA from 1 species